CCUCCACUCUUCCUCCAGUGGCACAAUGUGAUUCACUGGCAAGGGAGGGUGCCAGCAGAAGGCAUCCUCUAUAAGAUAAGUCUUAUAAAAUAUAUAGAUUUAUGAUAAUUAAGACUGAGCUAGCAGAUGAGAAUCCUAGUCAUUGGCUAAGCAGCAUUGUACCUAAUACAAGUCUCUCUGUGCAUUAAUUGGGGCCCUAACUCAGGCAGGCGGCUGGCAUAAAGCGCAUAUGUGGCGGUAGGGCUCACGCAGCUUUGGCAGAAAGUUUUAUUGCAACACAGGAUAUAUGAUAUGUGACCCCAAAGGGGUCAGGUUAGGAACCACUGAUGUAUAUGCACAUGUGUGUAAGGAUAUCUGAUAUGUGAAAGGGUCACUUGACCCUUGAGGAGUGCAACCCAUGGGUUGAGAACCAUUAUAUUGAGUCAAAAGCAACUUUCAAGUAUCUAGUCAAAAUAUUAGUUCAAUUUCUGAUGUGCUAGGUAAGCAAUUCCUCAGUGUCCGCUACUGUUAUCUCCAGCAGGAAGCAACUAUCUGUUUCAGGAAUUGUGUACUCUAAGAAUAUAACUUAGAUGUAGACGACGAUGAAGGCAGCUUAUCACAGACUUUGGUGAACAAGAUCACCAUGUGGCUCUCUGGGGAGUUAACCAAUUCUAUUAGAUCUUUUCUUUCAGAGUCUGUCUUUUAAAUACCCCCACUCUUCUUGGAGCUGAGCCACAAUUUUCAACCAGGGAGUGCUUGUUCACUUUAAGGUGCAUUUGGCAAUGUUUCAAAGAGGGACUUUUAUUUGUCAUAAAAUGUAGUUCAUGAUUGCCAGGAAUGCUUCUGUCAUCCUACAAUGCACAGAUUUGCUGGAGCCCACAGUGUAGGUGCUAAAGUUGACAAACACUGAGCCAGAGGACAUGAAGGUGUUCUGUAACAACAGCAACAACCAAUCAAAGAUCCUAAGUGCUAAAAACAACUUUUUCUCUCACCUGGCAUCAUUUAUUAAUUUGCAGCUGUGAUGGUUUCUCAGAAUUCUCAAGUAAAUAUAAAAAAUAAACAGGCAUUUAGAUAGAGUUGUACUCUGACAGCAAGGAUCAAUUCUAAGAACUGGAUCUUCAGGUAAUUGUUGUGUUAUCUGAACAUUACAGAGUGAACUGAUUGAUAUAAACUAAGGCACCUGGGACAUCACUUCACUAGUAGACAUAAGUUAUCAUUAUGUAUGCAGUCUAUUACUUGCUGACUAUACACAGAGACAUGUAUUUAUGUAUAUUUUACUGGACACAGCAGUAUAGACAGUCAUAAGAGAUUGAUGGAUCGCCGAACAUUCUUUAACUUACCACUCACAGGAUACCCCUAGCAAUGACUUCUCUGUCCAAGUGCAUAUCUGCAGGUUCUAAGUUAGAACUUGGCUUUAAAAGAUAAAAGUAUUUCUCAGACUAUGGAUGUGAAAAAAAUCACUGAUCUCCAAGUGUGCCAGUCACAUAACUGAUCUGAAACCUUGAAAAAAAGAUCAAAAUUGCCCUAGUGGAAUUUCUUCAGAAAGAGAGUCAUUGAGAUAAAAACGUUGACUCAACGUCCCUCACCUACCAGAGCUGCUAGAGUUCACCUCAAAUGUAACCAGAAUGUUGAGAACACAGUAGUUUUGUUUCUGUUCUGAAAGCCAUAUUACUUUCAGAAACAAAACAUGAGUCACCUGAUCUUGCAUCUUUACAGCUCCUUCCCUUUAUUUUUUGAGACUAGCUCUCUCAGUGAACUUAGAGCUCAUCAAUUCAGCUACACUGGCUGGCCAGCAAGCCCCAGGGAUCAUGCUGUCUCUACCUUCUCUUGCACAGUGAAUACUUUACUGAUGGAGCUCCCUCUGUAGCCCCCAAGUGUAUACUUUAAUGACCUGUCUGUUCCAAAAGAGUUUGUUUACUAAGAAUUUGGUUAAUCUCUUUUUAUAUCUCUCCCUUGCUGUUGAUAUUUCUAAAUGGUAAGUGAUUCUUGAUUGUCUGGUUAUAUUUAUAAAAAGAGAGCUUACAUUAGUAGCCUGAAGCCUGACUUGACAUGUAACCAGUGGAUCCCAAGCUUUGGGGGACACAACUUGGUUUUCUUUACUUUUAUAAAGUUACCAGGAUAUUUGAAGACACAGUGAGGUUCUAACUAAAAUCAGGAGCUGGACUGGCUUCCCUUUAUUUGGCUUUGGCUUCAAAAUUGUUGAGAAUCUCAGAGAAGGGAAACAAUGAGAUUUGGGUAAAGGCUACUGUCCCAGAGAAGCUGAUCUUUAAGAAUGAAAACAAACUAUUGGUGCCCUGGGUGUAUGCAACAGCAAUACAGCUCUAGAGCAACAAAGAAAGUGAGCAGAGCAGAGGCAGCUUCAUCACUAGCCUUUCCUCUCGGGCUGAUUGCUUCUGCACUUGCUUUCUAUAGGACUGAGAUGCUGGGCUCAUCUCCUUCAUUCUGGCUUGCUCUGAUUGGAUGGACAUUUUGGACCAUUGCCAUAGAUACUCAUUGACCUUGUGCAUUUAUAUUUGGGGAUCAGGAUGUACUGUUGUCAUUCUUGAGGCAGAGAGCCACAGCCUUCCCAGCACACUCAAAGGCAGUCUGAAAAUUCAGCAUCCACAUGCAAGAAAAAGAAAUGUAUUUGUCCUCUAUUAAUAGAUGGAUGGACAGCCUGGGCUUGAACUGUCUAUACCAAGUUGUUCCAGUGUCCCUGUUACUUCCACAUAUUAACCUGAGUUUCAGCGCUUUAGACGGAGGCUAGCAGAUGUUGAGUAAAAAACCACUGUGUGGAUCUUAAGAGCUCCAGGAACCUUCAACCCAGUGCCUCAGCCAACUUGGAGGUUCUCCAAAUUCUCUUGUGGACAUUUUGUAUCUAGGCAGCAGACAGAGCAAGGGUUUGAAGCAGCAUUUCUCAACUUCAGAAUUUGUGGUGACUAAUUUGCAACCAUUUCCAACGAAGCCACCUAGGAAGGAGAGGAACAGUUGGGACAUGUCCCAUCAGUACUUGGGACACUUUCCUGUGGGAGACCCUCCUAUUUAUAAAGCCAGACCAGGAAAAACCUGUCUCAAGCAAUGGUGGGGACAGCUAUUUGCAAGCCAGCUGUCAGCAGCAGCAGGAAACAUAACUCAAUGUGACCAGUUCUGCAGCUUGAGAAUUCCUUCCAGGAUCAUCACUCAGGUGUAGCCAGGAUCUUCACACACACACACACACACACACACACACACACACACAAUUUCAAGCUUCUUCUCUGACCAGAGAAGACCUUUGGAGACUGGAGAUCAGACACUUCGCCCUGGGAGGCUUCAACUGAAGACAGAGAUCCCUCUGCACCCCGUGAACACUCCACUCCACCCUUGAAGUCCUAGGUCAUCCCCAUUGCCCCAUAGCCUAAACGGCCUUUGCUUAGCUCUAUGUUGGAUUCAGCCAUUGUGCCCCUCCUUCUUUGGGACUUGCACUGAAUCUGUGUGGCUCCCAUGUUUAGUGUAUAAUAAGUUUGUAUGUUCUUCUUCCUUAAUUAAUUUAUCUCCGCACAAACUCAAAUUAUCAAAACCUCAAAGGGGGAAAAAUGGAAACAUUCCUACUUUGCACUGAGCCCUCCUAGAUAAUAACCCAAGAAAAUUUUUCUUAUCUUGAAGUCAAUGGGUUAGAAAACUGAAUUCCAUCUUUAAGCCUUAAAAUCUUGUUCUUUCACCUUACAAAUAGUCAGUCUCCCUUAAAGGUGCUGCCCUUGAUGGGGUGACCACACUAGAGUAGAUGGCAUGAGCACAAAUUGAACUCUGUGGGUUAUUAAAAAAAACGUGAAGUUAGGAGAGUGGGACAUGGACAUAGGAGGAGGUGGCGUAGAAGGCAGGGUGUGUCUGAUCACAAAUGCAUUGUAUGAAUGUAUGACUUUUCAAAGAAUUAAUAAAAACAACAUAUUCAACAACAACAAAUUCCUAAUCCCUGUCAUCAGAGAGGCAGAGUUGAAUCCAGAGGUUCACAACCACCCAUGCUCAGCAGCCUAUGAAUCAAAUUGUCUGUGUGGAUUUUACUAUAAAAUAGAUGGUUUUAUUACAUUUCACUGUCUGGUACCUAUUAAAUGUUCUGCAUAAGUGAGUAAGUUCAGUUUUUGUGUUGUCAAUUGCCCAUGCCUAUGUUUUUCAGCUAGCCUAGAAUUUACUAUGCAGACUUGGUUAGCCUCAAACUUGCAGAAAUCUGCCUGUGCUUCCCAAGUACAAAAGGGUGUGUUGGUUUUGCCUUUUAAAGGUUGGUUUUAACAGCCCUGGAAUCACCCAGCAGCCGACAACUACAUAUUAGUCACCAGGAGCUGGAACAAUUCUUCUAUGUAUACUCCAGCUAACAAUAAUUUUGUGGUUUAGAAAAAAAUGUUCCCUGAAGGGAAGGUUUAAAUUAAAAUAAACUGAGGAGAUAUUCUAUUUACCAAACCGCCAGCGGUGCCAGUUUGGGAUGUAAAUAUUCUUUAGAAAGUCUUAUGCUAGGCACUAGGCUCCUAGUAAACUGAUGACAAAUCAGUGGCCAAGACCCUCAUACAUUACAGGACUCAUAUCAGGAAAGGUAUCUAUUGUCUUAAUUCUUUUGAUGUAACUUUCCAACUUCAAAAUGCUCUUAGUUGGGCGUUGGUGGCACACGCCUUUAAUCCCAGCACUCGGGAGGCAGAGGCAAGCGGAUCUCUGUGAGUUCCAGGCAAGCCUGGUCUCCAGAGCAAGUGCCAGGAUAGGCUCCAAAGGUACAUAGAGAAACCCUGUCUCAAAAAACAACAACAAAAAAUGUUCUUAGUUGUCUGUGGCUAAAACCUGUGCAUGCAGUUGGGUUGUAAAUAUACAGCCAUACAUCUAGCUUGAAAAUGAAGCUCCUUGGACUUAUUUAAAUGUUGUAGGUACUCAAGAGAUUGAGGUUGGUUUUAAAAUGCCCAAAUAUGGGUGUAAAAUGAUUAAUUAACAACAUAAAAGCUAAUUUUCAGUGUCAAAUACCCCAAAUUUUCAAUGUCUACAAACCC
rnacentral:lncRNA from 1 species